rnacentral:lncRNA from 1 species
AAAGAAAUCAUAUAUUGGAUAAAGCUGUUGGAUUACAAUGGUUGAUAUUACAAGGGAAACAUCAUCGAAAUGUGAUGCAUAACCUAAAUAUUUUCUUGACAGCGAAACUUACAUAAAAAGCAUCCUUCAACAUCCCUACAACUUAACUAAACUUAACCGGGGAACACCAUCCGACAGAAACAUCAUCCCUACAACUUAACUAAAACUGAUAGCAUCCAUCAUCAUCAUCAUGGACCGGAACAUCAUUAUCAUCAUGAAACGGAACAUCAUCAUCAUUGCAAUAUACUUGCCACGCACCAUUAUAAUCAUCCAUAUAUCUUUUGAAUCUACAAAGAAAAUAACAAAAUGAACUGUUAAUACACAAUGCAUUGACAUGAUGAAUGUAGUGAUAGAGGCAGCAGGAUGUUAGGCACGUACGUACAAAGGUUGAAGGCUAUGCAAUCUUCUUUUUUCUGCAUUAUCGAGAGUAUUGCAGCUUUUGCGACUCCGUACCGAAUCUUCAGUUUUCACAAGUGCCAUAUCGACAUGCACUACCAAGAAUUCAUUUGUAAUUUUAGCAUCAUCAAGUUUAAAUUUAGGAUCACAACUUACAACUAUAGCAAGAGCUACGUCCCUAUUAUGAUUGUGAAAAGAUACCGGCAUGAGUGUUAGUUGUCAUUGAUGACUAAUCACGACGCCACAAUAUAUGACACAGCCUGCAGAAAAACAUGGCUUAAUAAAAUUAUAUGGAGAGUAGCCUAAGUGCUGAUGUGCAUUCAAGGGCAAUUGUGAGUGACAGUACCACUUCUUUUCUCUUCUCCAUUUAGUUAGCAAACUGAACUAAAAAGGUUUUAGUGAUCUGAAACCAAAACAUUUAGCUCUAGUUGGUUUCAGUCAUCCAACAGGAAACAAACAAACCUAAAGGUGCUCACCACGCUUUGGAACAAAACUACAGCCUCAAAUCCACUGAAACGAAUUUACAUAGUUAUCACCAGCCUAGAGAUCCAUUGCUAAUUCUGUACACCUACAGUCAAACUGUUUUGUGUGAACCAACAGAAUUAUUUAUUACUAAAUAAAUUCACUGACCUACAGCCCCAAAUGCUAUAAAUUGGCAUGGACAGCAGCAUAGAACCUAGCACGGCUCAAUGGUCGUGGACACAUUGAGCAGUACCAUGGUAGGGAGAGGGAGAGAGUAUACCUUCCAUGGCAUCGUCCAUGACUUGCUCCACGAACUCGACUUGCUCCAUGGAGUCGCCGUACAUCGAGUUGGUGCGUGUAG